rnacentral:lncRNA from 1 species
AACAGGUAACCAUCAUCACUGUCUGAAGAGUAAUUUGAUUCUGGAUAAUGUAUGAUCUACCGUCAGAUUUUUCAGAGGUUUCAUGGUGGUUAGUUGAGGAUAUUUGCUGCCACAGGAAUUCUCACAGGACCUGAACAAAAGAUCUGAAGAUGUCAGACAUCCCCUAGACUCUGUCAUAAGCUGAAGCUUGAAUAUUGUAUCUUCUUUGCAGAAGAAACAAACGUUCAUGACUGAGAAAAACAAAUUUAUUUGUUCUCUUUGCCUCUGAUUGAUGGAGAAUGUGUAUUCAAAUGGAGAAUGAAAUCAGAUCCAAUCAGGAGAGAGAUCUCAUAUGUAGACAUGGGCAUCCAAUCCUGCUGCAACACUGGAGAUCUCCAUCAGUCCUGCUGAUUCAUACCUCAACACUUUCACCAUGGAUUCUCAAAAGGAAUUAGAAAAACCGAAAAUGGAUGGAGAAAAAAGCUGGUUUUACAUUCUUCUCUCUACACAACCAACAGAAAUACAAGUUAGUGGAAUGUUAAGGGUGUUCUGAUUUCUGGCUGCUUCUGCUUAGAUGUAAGCUCUUUGCCAAGGUUCUUCUGCUUCUUUUAAGGCCUUUCUGACUGCGAUUAUUAUCUUGCAAAUUUUGUGUGGCCUGCUAAAUAUUGAUGUGCCUGCAUCUCCCUUGGAAAUUGCUUCUGUUGUAUAUUCAUGUUUUAGAUUUUCCCAGUACAAUAAUGUUUUAUAGGGUAUCUUCAAAGAGGUUUUGGAAUACAACGUUCAAUAUUCAGCCCAUACCCUGCUCCCCAAGUAUUCAGUUUGCAAGAAACACUGGAGUGUUUCAAAAACCUGAAAAAUAUUAAUAGAAAUUCAGUGUUGAAAACAAGUUUUAAUGCUUUGAUUAUCCAAAACAAAACAUUGUGUGUACAAAUAUA